GGACAGUUAAUCAAGUCUCUGAACGGAGUUCAGCAAGCUUUGCACAGGUAUUCCUGGUGUGUCUCAGCGUCAAAGAUGGGGCAGUAUCUACCCUGUGGCGAACAGCCCUGGAUACAGACAUAACAACUGCUUGGGAAGGAGUCUAUGGCAUUUGUAGCUCAAGAAUACCCAAUAGCUUAAAACCACAUGGCCACAUAAACUUCUAAUCUAACACAACUGCAGAGACUGGAAACCACUUAAACCAGUUUUUCCAGGUUUGUGGACGUCGCUUGUCCAUGAAGCGUGGUAGUAGAAUGGCCCUGGAACUGGGGAGGAACACCAAACUACUGGUUAAUGUCUCCUGCAACACUGCUGUCCUAGGAGGAGGAAGUGUAAGAAUACAAAGUUGCCUGGAAGAGACCUUUCCUGAAGUACUGAUUUUGGUUUAGGCUCUGAGACGUGACAAGACCGCAUUCCUAAGACUUUUAAAUGGGUGGGGCGUGCUGCCGUUUGAGAUGAUGGAACCACU
rnacentral:lncRNA from 1 species